rnacentral:rRNA from 1 species
GCAACACUGACAGGUUCUAUUGCCGUUGGCAAAGAGCUUAGUAAGAGUAUAUGCAAUGAGACCCGAAAGAUGGUGAACUUAAUGUGUGUAGAAUGAAGCCAGGGGAAACCCUGGUGGAAGUUCGUAGCGGUUCUGACGUGCAAAUCGAUCGUCAAACAUGCAUUAAGGGGCGAAAGACUAAUCGAACCAUCUAGUAGCUGGUUCCGUCCGAAGUUUCCCUCAGGAUAGCUGGCAUUCAAUUUUCACAGUUAUAUCCGGUAAAGCGAAUGUUUAGAGGCAUUGGGCGUAAAAUACGCUCAACCUAUUGACAAACUUUAAAUGGGUAUGAAGUUCAUUUUUCUACUUCAUUGAGAAUGAACAGCGAAUGUGAGUGCCAAGUGGGCCAUUUUUGGUAAGCAGAACUGGCGCUGUUGGAUGCACAAAACGUCAAGAUAAAGAGCCAGAUGGUCUCGCUCAUCAGAUACCAUAAAAGGUGUUGAUUCAUCUUGACAGUUGGACAGU